rnacentral:rRNA from 1 species
GUAGGUGGCAAGCGUUGUCCGGAAUUAUUGGGCGUAAAGCGCGCGCAGGUGGUUCGUUUAAGUCUGAUGUGAAAGACCCCCGGGCUCAACCGGGGAGGGUCAUUGGAAACUGGGGAACUUGAGUGCAGGAGAGGAAAGUGGAAUUCCACGUGUAGCGGUGAAAUGCGUAGAUAUGUGGAGGAACACCAGUGGCGAAGGCGACUUUCUGGCCUGUAACUGACACUGAGGCGCGAAAGCGUGGGGAGCAAACAGGAUUAGAUACCCUGGUAGUCCACGCCGUAAACGAUGAGUGCUAAGUGUUCGGGGGGGUUUCCGCCCCUCAGUGCUGCAGCUAACGCAUUAAGCACUCCGCCUGGGGAGUACGGCCGCAAAGACUG